GAUGAAGAACGUAGUGAAAUGCGAUAAGUAAUGUGAAUUGCAGAAUUCAGUGAAUCAUCGAAUCUUUGAACGCACAUUGCGCCCGCCAGUAUUCUGGCGGGCAUGCCUGUUCGAGCGUCAUUUCAACCAUCAAGCCCCCGGCUUGUGUUGGGGACCUGCGGCUGCCGCAGGCCCUGAAAAGCAGUGGCGGGCUCGCUGUCACACCGAGCGUAGUAGCAUACAUCUCGCUCUGGGCGUGCUGCGGGUUCCGGCCGUAAAACCACCUUCAUAACCCAAGGUUGACCUCGGAUCAGGUAGGAAGACCCGCUGAACUUAAGCAUAUCAAUAAGCGGAGGA
rnacentral:misc_RNA from 1 species